AGACUGAUAAAAAGAAGACAAAGAAGGGAAAGAAGAAGAAGGGGAAGAAGGGGAAGAAAUGAACAUCGCAUUGUCGACAAGCUUUUUUUCGUAAAUGUUUUUGAUGUCGUUGCUGGUUUGAUUAAUUUUUUUCCUUU
rnacentral:ribozyme from 1 species